rnacentral:rRNA from 1 species
UGGGGAAUUUUGCGCAAUGGGGGAAGCCCUGACGCAGCAACGCCGCGUGGAGGAUGAAGUCCCUUGGGACGUAAACUCCUUUCGACCGGGACGAUUAUGACGGUACCGGUGGAAGAAGCCCCGGCUAACUUCGUGCCAGCAGCCGCGGUAAUACGAGGGGGGCAAGCGUUGUUCGGAAUUAUUGGGCGUAAAGGGCGCGUAGGCGGUGCGGUAAGUCACCUGUGAAAUCUCCGGGCUUAACUCGGAGUCUGCAGGCGAAACUGCCGUGCUGGAGUAUGGGAGAGGUGCGUGGAAUUUCCGGUGUAGCGGUGAAAUGCGUAGAUAUCGGGAGGAACACCUGUGGCGAAAGCGGCGCACUGGACCAUAACUGACGCUGAGGCGCGAAAGCUAGGGGAGCAAGCAGGAUUAGAUACCCUGGUAGUCCUAGCCCUAAACGAUGGAUGCUUGGUGUGGCCGGUACCCAAUCCGGCUGUGCCGAAGCUAACGCGAUAAGCAUCCCGCCUGGGGAGUACGGUCGCAAGGCUG